AGCAGCCGCGGUAAUUCCAGCUCCAAUAGCGUAUAUUAAAGUUGUUGCAGUUAAAAAGCUCGUAGUUGAAUUUCGGGGUCAGUAGGUUGGUCAUGCCACUGGUAUGUACUGGUCUCACUGAUUCCUCCUUCCUGAUGAACUGUAAUGCCAUUAAUUUGGUGUUGCAGGGAAUCUGGACUGUUACUUUGAAAAAAUUAGAGUGUUUAAAGCAGGCUAACGCCUGAAUACAUUAGCAUGGAAUAAUGAAAUAGGACGUUCGAUCCUAUUUUGUUGGUUUCUAGGAUUGACGUAAUGAUUAAUAGGGAUAGUUGGGGGCAUUAGUAUUCAAUUGUCAGAGGUGAAAUUCUUGGAUUUACUGAAGACUAACUAUUGCGAAAGCAUUUGCCAAGGAUGUUUUCAUUAAUCAAGAACGAAAGUUAGGGGAUCGAAGACGAUCAGAUACCGUCGUAGUCUUAACCAUAAACUAUGCCGACUAGGGAUCGGAUGAUGUUAAUUUUUAAUGA
rnacentral:rRNA from 1 species